UCCUACGGGAGGCAGCAGUGGGGAAUCUUGGACAAUGGACGCAAGCCUGAUCCAGCACUACCGCGUGUGUGAAGAAGGCGUUCGGGUUCUAAAGCAAUUAUAUCGGGAGCGAAAUACCAUCGGCUAAUAACCGGUGAGGCUGACGGUACCCGAGGAAUAAGCACCGGCUAACUUUGUGCCAGCAGACGCGGUAAUACGAAGGGGGCGAGCGUUAAUUUGAAUUACUGGGCGUAAAGGGUGCGUAGGCGCUGUGCUAAAUCGGUGAUGAAAUCCCCGGGCUCUACCUGGGAAGGGCGCAUGAAACUGGCCGGCUAGAGAGUGUCAGAGGAUGGUGGAAAACCCGGGGUGGCGCGGAAAAGCGUAGAGAUCUCGAGGAACAUCAGUGGGGAAAGCGGCCAUCUGGGACAACAAAGACGCUGAAGCACGAAAGAUAGGGGAGCAAACACGAUUAGAUACCCUGGUAGUCUCAUCCCUGAAAGAUG
rnacentral:rRNA from 1 species